CGGCCUGUGAAAGCGUACAUUUUUGAUGGACUCAUAAUCCUUUGGUCCACGGUUCGAGUCCGUGUGGGCCCACCA
rnacentral:tRNA from 1 species